AGAGCCUUGCAGUAGGUAUCACAGAGUGCAGUGACUCAUAAUUCAACACGAAGAUAGUCUGGAAACAGUGACGACUAGUCUGUGGAAGAAAUACACCGAAAUCCUUCUCGUACCGUCAUAUGGUACCUCAAGCAGAAAGGAAUUCAUCAGUUUUCAACAAAACCUCCUCCCGACACAUCAGUGACGACCCGCAGAGCUGAAGAUUUGUUCACCAGCAGCGCCACUACCACCAUCAGCGGUAUCAGCACCAGGAGAGAGUCCAUUCGACAUCACCAGGCGAUGAGCAAGGUGGAUGAGAAGACGCGGCCAAUAACGAGAGCAGGGCGCAUUCAACAGCCGGUAUCAGCAACAGAAGAUCAAGGUUAAGUUCAGAAAAG